AUUGAAACGCUGGCGGCAGGCCUAACACAUGCAAAGUCGAAACGGUAAACAGGAAGAAGCUUGCUUCUUUGCUGACGAGUGGCGGACGGGUGAGUAAAUGUCUGGGAAAACUGCCUGAUGGAGGGGGACAACUACUGGAAACGGUAGCUAAUACCGCAUAAACGUCGCAAGACCAAAGAGGGGGACCUUCGGGCCUCUUGCCAUCGGAUGUGCCCAGAUGGGAUUAGCUAGUAGGUGGGGUAACGGCU
rnacentral:rRNA from 1 species